rnacentral:tRNA from 1 species
GUCUGACUGGCUCAGUUGGUAGAGUGUGUGACUCUUGAUCUUGGGGUCGUGAAUUCGAGCCCCAUGUUGGAUG